AGGGAUACUUGUCAGGAGCCUUAAGGGCAGGGCUGCUGGGAUAGUUGGGCUGUAAGUAUGACAGCGAGAGACUCCAAGAAGUAGGAUAACGGGACCUGUAGUUGUGCAUAGGACUGGGUGUUUCUUUUAUGGGGAGGAGGGCAUUACCCUUGUUAGCCUGAAGCAUCUGCCUGUAGUACCCUGGGGUUUUUAUUUUAGUUCUUGAGCAUGUCUAGUAGAGAACGUAUGAGGUCAGAUGACACCAGAUGGUCCAUUGGGAUGGUGUACAUUUUCAGGUAAAAGAGCCUGCACAACUUAGAGUUUUGCAGAAGUGUGCUCAGGCACAAACCUUGAUGUGAGAGGGCACAGUGGGGCUAGCUGCAGACCCCAGCUGUUCUGUGGGUCACAGUCUCCUGGAACUGUGGACAUGGCCAUAAAAUCCAGUGUCCCCCUGGUCUUACAUAUAGACCCAUGGGUCACUUCCUAACCCCGUAGCCAAACCUUUCGGCUCGGCUGUGCCAUGAAGCCAGAUCAUUUGUUUACAGUUCAGACCACAGAUGUGAUUAAAACCAACCCUUUCAAAUAGAACGACUCUGGAGGGAGACACUAUACAGAACUCAGCUUUUGACCUCUGCUCGUGUAGUGGGUAAAAUUGCCCAGAAGAGAUGGGUAGGUGAGUUUCUUGAAGUUUACUGUGUUUUGUAAAGCCUUAGUUCUCACCACUUAGGUGGAAAGCAAAAUGUACAGACUAGGCCCUCAGUUUAGAGCUGAACGGGGACAGCAUGUUCUGGAUGUGGUGACAGAGUGGGGAUCCAUAAGACAAUGUGAUAAGGGCUUUGUCCAAACCUCACCGAGUUGCCAUUGGGGUACAUUAGGGAGCACUGUUGGAACCCUAAAAAGUAUUCAUCACCCAAAAC
rnacentral:lncRNA from 1 species